rnacentral:rRNA from 1 species
CAGUCGCCACGGUAAUACGAAGGGUGCAAGCGUUACUCGGAAUUACUGGGCGUAAAGCGUGCGUAGGUGGUGGUUUAAGUCCGUUGUGAAAGCCCUGGGCUCAACCUGGGAGUUGCAGUGGAUACUGGGUCACUAGAGUGUGGUAGAGGAUAGUGGAAUUUCCGGUGUAGCAGUGAAAUGCGUAGAGAUCGGAAGGAACAUCUGUGGCGAAGGCGACUAUCUGGGCCAACACUGACACUGAGGCACGAAAGCGUGGGGAGCAAACAGGAUUAGAUACCCCAGUAGUCCCUGUCUCUUAUAC